rnacentral:tRNA from 8 species
GUCAGGAUAGCUCAGUUGGUA